GCCGGCUUGGUGGACUGGUAGACACGAAAGACUCAAAAUCUUUUGCCAGCAAUGGUGUCUGAGUUCAAGUCUCAGAGCCGGUA
rnacentral:tRNA from 1 species